rfam:Tupaia chinensis contig161211, whole genome shotgun sequence.
CCAAUGUGGUUUUCCCCAGGAGGUCACUCUCCCCAGGACUCUGUCCAGGUGGCAUAGAGGAGCACAGGGCUCUGCCUGGUGAUGUGCAGUCUCUUCCCAUGAUGUGAGAGAUAAAGCAUGCGUCUACACUUGCAUCUUUUUGUAGUUUCCCAAGGUCCUGUGGACAAUGAUAGGGAGUCAAAUCAUGAGGGAAAUGACU